GGGGUUGUGGCUCAGCGGUAGAGUGCUUGCCUAAGCAUGUGUGAGGCACUGGGUUCAAUCCUCAGCACCACA
rnacentral:tRNA from 1 species